ensembl:lncRNA novel transcript
UUUUUUUUUUUUUUUUUUUUUUUUUGAGAUGGAGUACUCACUCUUGUCUCCCAGGCUGCAGUGCAAUGGCACAAUCUCGACUCACUGCAACCUCUGCCUCCUGGGUUCAAGCAGUUCUUCCACCUCAGCCUCCUGAGUAGCUAGAAUUACAAGUGCACACCACCAUACCUGGCUAAUUUUUGUUUUUUGUUUUUUUUCUAGUAGAGAUGGGGUUUCACCAUGCAAGGUGGGCACAUCACCUGAGGUCAGGAUAUCUAUGUCUUAAUACCCAAAACCUGUGAAUGUGAUCUUGUUUGGAAAAAGAAUAUUUUCAGAUGUAAUUAAGUAUGUUAACAAGAGAUUAUCCUGGAUUAUCUGGGUGGGCCCUAAAUCCUGUAACAAGGGUCCUUAUGAGAGAAAGAAGAAGAGACACAGACACAGAGAAGGAGGAGAAGACCAUGUGAAGACCAAGGUAGACACUGGAGGUGAUGCCACAAGGAAUGCUUGGAACCAGCAGAAGCCGGAGGAGGUGAGAAACGAUUUGCCUCUAGAGCGUCCAGAGGGAGCGUAGCCCUCCCAAUAUCUUGAUUUUGGACUUCUGGCCUCCAGAACAGUAAGACAAUAAAUUUCUGUUGUUUUGAGCCACCCUACUUGUGAUGCUUUGCUAUGGCAGCUUGAGGAAACCAAUACAGAUGUGGACAUAUUAGAGGAGGGGACAUUAUUCUAAUUCAAUGUAUCAAUGACAUUUUCUGAAAUUUUUCUCCUCCUGCUUCUUCCAAGUUAUUUCAUUGUUUUUCUUUGUCUCUGUCAUUUUAGGAACUUGCGUCAGAUGUCCAGUAAUCCUUGGUUGUUGCUCAUGAUUAUGAAAGAGUACUUAAAAGCCAAUUAGAUGCUCAGACCAUGUGGGUGGGACUUAUUGACUUCGGGUUUUAAUUUAGGAUGAUUUUGAUGGGUGACAUUAUUGGCAAAUCUUCAAUGUCAGUAUAUUUAUGUCUUGUCUUUUAGUUGGUUGGUUUCUCCAGAGAAGAAUAUUUUAGUCUUCUGUUUUGAUGAUGUUGGCUAAUGUUCUUCGGUCUAGUAGAAGAGAGCUUAAGAAGUCUUAGCAUUCACUGUCUAAAUUUUUUUUAAAGAUUGAUAUCUGAAUUCUCACUUGUCUUGGUGUCCUUCAGUCCAAAUAUCUUGUAUCUUACAUUCUUCAAAGAGUGGAGCCACCAUCUUCUGCUGGGGUCUCGUGGACACUUGUUAAGCUCCCUUUAGUGAGGGAAGAAAUUUGAGGGUCUAACUGCUUCCUAAACGUUCAGCCAGUCCUUUUACUUUUAGCCUUACUUUCAUUUCAACUUACAGGGCUUGUAGUGGUCCCAAUUUCUAAGACUUUCAGAAAUAUUAUGGUGUUGAACAGGUGGCUUCUUGACCUUCCACAAAUGGCUUAGGAUUCUACUUACUUGAGUCUGAUAAUUCAGUUAUUACUCAGUUAUCUGCUUUACAGUUUUCAAAGCUGUAUUGCUGUGUUUCCUGUAUUGUUCUUUGUCUUUUAGACAUAUGUUCUUUAAACAUUAAUUUACUAUUGUUAUUGUGGAGUUUUGGAAAAGAGCAAAAGUAAAUAUUCAUGUUUAUACCACCACCUUUAACCAGAAAUUCCAUAAAAAAGACAUAUUUCUUAGACUUGUCAUUGUUACUGAUUAGGUCCAUUCAAUGUCAGGACUUUUGGGGUUGUGUUUUUAUUAUUUAUUAAAUGUUUCCACUUUUAUUUUCCUACAGAAUCUGAUUUUUAAAAUAUCUUGAUUAUUCUUUCAAAACUUUUAACCAUCUUAAUAUAUAUUCAUUGUAGAAAGAUUAGAAUAUUCUAAUAAACAAAAAGAAAAAUCAUUUGUAAUCCCAAGACCGGAGAUAGUUUCUGUUGACACUUUCAUGUGUUCCUUUGAUUUUCGUCCUCAAUUUUGUAUAUUUUAUACAAAAGUAUCAUAAUGUACAUAUUGCUUUAGUAAUCUGUUUUUUCAUUUAAUAUUUCAAAACAACAUAUUGUUUUUGAUUGUGAGGAUUUUAUUCAGUUUUGUGGAUUCAUGAGUAGAUGGGCACAAUACUUUGGAAAUCCUUGAUCCUAACUCUUUGAACUGAGCCACGCUUGUAAGUCUCCUGUCAUCUCUCAGUGCAUCUAUUAGAGGUUUUAGAGGCCUCAGCAAGAAUCCACCACAUACAAUUAUUAUUUUUUUGUUUGAUCAUACUCAUUUCUGUGGCAGUUUUUUUUAAAGUCUUGCAAGCAUACUGUUUCCCUUGUUGAAUGUCCUUAGAAUGCCACCUAGUCUGGCCAGGGAGUGUUUACCCACAGUGUGCAAUUUUAUACUUUCCUACAAUUACUUUGCAGUAAUUUGCUCUGACACUAUCUAAGCAGGUUGACUAUACAGCAACGUCAGCUAUCUUCACUCCAGAUAGUCUACUAGCUUGAAACCAGGAAUACAGGAAGACAAGAACAAUGGACAAGAAAUCCACGCAUAGUGGUCUGCAUUUAGAUGCAGUGGACUUCUGCUUGAAAGUGCAGUGCUAUAAAGGAAAAUCUUGUGCUGCUUUGUGCCGUGGUGGAAACCAGGAAAUGGCCAGAUGGAGGCUCAAGAAAUGUGUUUAUUAGGUCUUCUGACUAUGCUGUAUUGAUAAAAUGCAAAACAGUGGGUGAUGGGAGUAGCCCAAUCAGGUCAUCUCUGAAGUUUCUGCUUUCCCAAGUAAAUAGUUCAAAUUCCUCUAGCAAUUCCUCAGAGAAGCUAUAUGCCAAAUCCAUUGCUCAACUAUAAGUGAUUUUAAAGUUCAGUCUUUAGAGGUGAAGUUGGCACAGGAUAGCGCUCGGUCACAGUGACCCUUAGGCAGUCAAUGUCCCUCUGCUUCUCAGGCUCCCCUUUCCUCCACAGGAAUCUUUUUCCUAAAAGGGUUCCCUUCAAAAUUACACCCCAUUCCCCUUAUUUACUCAGUGCAUGGAAUUUAGCCAGCUAUUGGUAGAAAAACAAUGUGAUUAAAUUCACUCAUAUCGUAAAUGUCUAAUAGCCCCAACCCUCCCAAAGAUAUUAGCAUCUUAAGAGAGCCUGGAGGUUAAUUUAAGUGAUUUCACUAAUUGAAAGGAUUUCAAACAGUAGAAUGCAGUAAAAUAAAGAAUUUUGGACACAGUAGGGAGUCAUCUGGUAACAAAGCAAGAAAGCUUUUCAUUUGUUCUGAAUACCAGACACAGCUUUGUACAAAAGUAUGAGUAUCAAUCUUAUGCCUUGCAGUCCUCUUUUUACUUCCCAGAUUCAUAUUUCAAAAUCACAUAUAAUGCUACUUGCAAAAUUAAAUUGCUGAAGAAUAUAUCUACUGUCUUGACUUAGGAAAAAACAUGCAGAGAAAUCUUUUAGCUACUGCACUGUUGCAAAAAAAA